GUCAUCAUUUCGAUAACUGAAGUCUAAGUCCUACCAUGAAGUACAUCAACUUUGUAAUAGCAUAUAUAAUUAUGUUUGGUCUAUUCUCGUCCAAUUUCUUGGAUUGUCACGUUCAAGAUACUGCUUACAGAGAACUAAGGCGUUUUUUUCCAAUGGAGUGGAAACGAGCAAACAAUCUUGGAAGUCGAAUGUGUCAGUUGGAUAGCAGAUAUGCAUAUAUUUAGAAGAACGCCAACUUCAGCAUAAGUUUAGCAUGAAAUAUUGAAUACUAUUUAAUUAAAAAUCGCUGUUAAUUACUUUGCAGAAAGCACAGUUAUAGUAACAUUUAAUAACAUAAAAUAUUUUUUUCUUGAUAUUCUAUCGUACUUUUUUUUUUCAUAGUUAUCAAAAAUUGUAGGGCAGCAAAUCAAAAUUAACUAAUGUCGUUUUUUUUAAAUUUUACAAGAGACUGAAUAUAAAAAAAUUAAUUGCAUUUAAGAGGAGGAUUGUCGUCGACUAAUGUUCGACGUCUUCUGCAAGUGUUGUUAAAAAACUUGUUUAAAAGAAAACCCAAUUUAAAACAUAAGUAAAUAAUUUAAAACGUUUAAAAUGACCCGUAAGACUAAUGUAAAUGUUGAAAUAUUUGGUGUAAAACGUAAUGACCUUGCUCGUUUUCCAAGCAAAAGUCCUUUGAGCUAUUGUCAUUCAUAUUAACUCUUUUUUAUCAUUCCGGGUCUAGGAUAUUAAGCGAUAAAAAACCCAGGUCUAAUAUUCUUUUUCGCUGACUUCCACAGGAUAGAAGUCAUCUCAUCCAAGGCGGCACGAUUAGUUAUAAGGUAUUCGUGUUUAUAACUUCAUUCUUAAAAUAAUGCAAAAUUUAUUUUUCAGACAAUUUUUUUACGAAGAAAUUGUUUAAAUGUAUCAGAUACAAUGCUACUAUUGAGUUCUACAUCAUUUUUACCAUAAGAAUUGAUAUCGAACUCAAUAUUGACAUUUUUGUUUUAUGUCGGUAAGAAAUUUGUUGGUUAUACAAUGUUUGAUAACGGCCGUAAAAUGCAAAGAAAAAGUAGUAAAAUUCAGCGAUCGUUCAAAAAUUAUGAAGUAACGUUUGAAAAGUUUUCUUACAAAACAUUUUUUUGGAUCAAUAUUAAUUUCAGGAAAAGUACUUAUUGAGCUCCAAGCAUUGUAAUACAUAGAGUGGGUGUGUAUAGCUUGUAUUGGUGUUUAUUUAUAAUCCAUACUCCUCCAUUCUAUAGUAGGAGUUAUAUUAAAAUAAAGUGUAUUUAAAAAGAUCUAUUAUUAAGUCAUAUUAACUACUAAUUAUAAACGUGGUGUAAACCUAUUAUAUUGGUUACUGUAAUUUCUGACUAAUCUUAACCCUUCUCAAAGGUUUGAGACUUUUAGACGCCUCUGUUAGUCUGACGGUUUUUGAAAUUAGCCAGAUUCGGAAUUAGUCGUCUUGUUUACCGUCCGUGAUUUAUUUUCAUGAGUGUCCACUGCAAUUAUUACGCGAAUUUUAGCUUCGAUGCAAAGCUGAAAAGGUAUUAAUUUUACCAUGAUGUGUUUUUUUUGUGUCUAUUGUCACUUUUUCUCAGCUCUCACCAAACCGAUUUCUUUCAACGAUACGUCAAAAGAUCACAAAUCGUAUCUAGUUGAAGAUAUUACCAAAUCAACAUAACUUUUUUUUAUAUUGAAACCUUAGAUAUUUUCCUUUCAUUUGAUAUCAUUUUUUUUGAAAAUCUAACACUUAACCUGCUCUCAAGGAGUAUUUAAAAUACCGUAGCUAUUGUAGAUUCAAUGCGAAGUUGAGAAGGUAUUAAUUUUACUAUGAUGUAUUUUUUAAAAUUUUUUUUUUGUGUCUUGUCACUUUUUCUCAGCUCUCACCGAACCGAUUUCUUUCAACGAUACAUCAAAAGAUUACAAAUCUAGUCAAAGACAUUACCCUCAAAAAUUGAAAAAAUUUCCCUCGUUUUCCGUAAAUGGGGAAAAUAUCCAAAAAAAUUACAAAAUUAAAAAUUGCUAAUUUUUGACAUUUUUAAAAUUUUUUUUUAAAUUGGACCAUUUCAUAUAUUUAUAUAUUAUAAAUAUAUAUUACACUUAUAAGUCAUAAAACUUGUAAUCAGGAUAUAAAUAAGGAAAUAAGAGAUCAUGUUGCUUUUGGAAUAAUCCACUAAUUUUUUAAAAUUAAACAAUAUCUACAGAUUUUUUUAUGAUUAUGAUUUUAAUCACUGUCAGAUUAAAUCUAUACUGGAUCCAACUAUGCCGCAACCCCACUGUGCUGGGUUCUUUUUUAUAAUUAUUAUGUUGAUGAACCUGUCUCCAGCUUUUUUUUUUGUUUUCACUAAAUAUUCAU